GCGGGGGUAGCUCAGUGGUAGAGCUCCAGCCUUCCAAGCUGGUUGUCGCGGGUUCGAGCCCCGUUCCCCGCUCCA
rnacentral:tRNA from 1 species